CCUCAGGGCCGUGGAAGCACACCCAGGCUGUUUUAAGAUAGUAGUCUGUGGUGAUGCCGCAGCGCGCGCCCGCGGAGACAAGGGGCCUGCAGACAGACUCAGAGCGUCAGGGCGCACUGACUGACGGGAGGAAGACGCUGAGACUGCUAUGCAGCUGACCUCUAGUUCUGCCCCUGACCACUGGACUCAACUCUUGAGACUGUACCAGAUUCCAGGACACUGGAUGAGAACUCCAGAAACCAAGGCUGAAUUUCAUCUGUUACUGAGGGGGCGCUACGGCUCUGCCACUCACUCACUGGCUGACUCAGUGCUGGCUGAGUGCUUACGAUGUGCCAGGAACGGUGAUAAAUGGUGCAGCAACAAGCCCACCGAUAACCACGGUCUCAUCACACUCUUAUGUGGAU